UUUGUGGAAACUCAAGUUGGC
rnacentral:miRNA from 1 species